rnacentral:rRNA from 1 species
UACGUAGGGUGCAGGCGUUAAUCGGAAUUACUGGGCGUAAAGCGUGCGCAGGCGGUUUGCUAAGACAGGUGUGAAAUCCCCGGGCUUAACCUGGGAACUGCGCUUGUAACUGGCAAGCUAGAGUGUGGCAGAGGAGGGUGGAAUUCCACGUGUAGCAGUGAAAUGCGUAGAUAUCUGGAGGAAUACCGGCGGCGAAGGCGGCAUCCUGGACCGGCAUUGACGCUGAGGAGCGAAAGCUAGGGGAGCAAACGGG